AAAGGACAGGAAGGAGACCUCUUGCUCAUUACUUUCAGGAGGUAGCACUGUUACAGAGAGCUGUAUAGUAGGGGAAGAUAAAAUAACUAAAAAUAGUUCAAAAGAUGGAAGAAGAGCCUACAGAAAGCAACAUUGAAGAAAAGAGUGAGGCAGAAGAGCCUACAAAAAGAAACAUCGAAGAAAAGUGUGAGGCAGAAGAGCCUACACAGAGCAACGCAGAGGAAAAGAAUGAGGCAGAAGCGGGGCCUGCUGGGCGCGAGAACAAGCGUGAUGAAAAGAGGGAGAAGAUAAUUAAGAAAGUGAAAGAAGUGCUGGCUCAGAGCCCGAACAAGGCCAAGAACCCAACGGUAAAUUAUUUUCUGUAGAUUCUAUAAAAGGACUCUUUCCAGCAGUACAGUAUACAUGUAUCCAGAAUUAAAUAAAAUGUAGCCAAAACUAAUAAUCUUUUAUGAACAUUUUCAUAAUUUUCUAUUUUCUUUUUCAUUCUUGAUUUUUAGCUCUUUGUUCUAGUCUUCUGUCAGUAUAAAAUCCCAAAAGUGC
rnacentral:lncRNA from 1 species